AGAGUUUGAUCAUGGCUCAGGAUGAACGCUGGCGGUAUGCCUAACACAUGCAAGCCGAACGAUGUCUUCGGACAUAGUGGCGGACGGGUGAGUAACGCGUGAGAAUCUGCCUCUAGGAUGGGGAUAACGGUUGGAAACGACCGCUAACACCCAAUAUGCCGUAAGGUGAAAAAUUUAUUGCCUGGAGAGGAGCUCGCGUCUGAUUAGCUAGUUGGUGGGGUAAGAGCUCACCAAGGCUUCGAUCAGUAGCUGGUCUGAGAGGAUGAGCAGCCACACUGGGACUGAGACACGGCCCAGACUCCUACGGGAGGCAGCAGUGGGGAAUUUUCCGCAAUGGGCGAAAGCCUGACGGAGCAAUACCGCGUGAGGGAGGAAUGCCUUUGGGUUGUAAACCUCUUUUCUCAGGGAAGAAGAUCUGACGGUACCUGAGGAAUAAGUAUCGGCUAACUCCGUGCCAGCAGCCGCGGUAAUACGGAGGAUGCAAGCGUUAUCCGGAAUCAUUGGGCGUAAAGCGUCCGCAGGUGGUUUCCAAAGUCUGCUGUUAAAGACUGGAGCUCAACUCCGGAACGGCGGUGGAAACUUGGAAACUAGAGUUCGGUAGGGGUAGCAGGAAUUCCCAGUGUAGCGGUGAAAUGCGUAGAUAUUGGGAAGAACAUCGGUGGCGAAGGCGUGCUACUGGACCGUAACUGACACUCAGGGACGAAAGCUAGGGGAGCGAAAGGGAUUAGAUACCCCUGUAGUCCUAGCUGUAAACGAUGGAAACUAGGUGUGGCUUGUAUCGACCCGAGCCGUGCCGUAGCUAACGCGUUAAGUUUCCCGCCUGGGGAGU
rnacentral:rRNA from 1 species